AUCGCUUCUCGGCCUUUUGGCUAAGAUCAAGUGUAGAACAUCAGGAAUACCAAUCAUAAAUUCUUUGAUUAGACAUCUAUAUAUGUUUUUUUAAAGAUUUACUUAUUUUUAUGUUGGGCAUAUGAGUGUUUGCCUGCAUAUAUGUCUGUGCAACAUGUGCAUGGCUGGUGCCCAAGACAGUGAGAC